rnacentral:rRNA from 1 species
UAGGGAAUAUUGGUCAUCUGGGGAACCGGGGACCAGCCACGCCGCGUGCGCGAUGAAGGCCUUCGGGUUGUAAAGCGCUUUUUGAGAGGAUGAGGAAGGACAGUACUCUUAGAAUAAGCCUCGGCUAACUACGUGCCAGCAGCCGCGGUAAAACGUAGGAGGCGAGCGUUAUCCGGAUUUACUGGGCGUAAAGCGUGUGUAGGCGGUUUGAUAAGUUGGAUGUGAAAGCUCCUGGCUUAACUGGGAGAGGUCGUUCAAAACUAUCAGACUUGAGAGUGGUAGAGGGAGGUGGAAUUCCGCAUGUAGUGGUGAAAUGCGUAGAUAUGCGGAGGAACACCAGUGGCAAAAGCGGCCUCCUGGCCCAUUUCUGACGCUCAGACACGAAAGCUAAGGUAGCAAACG